UAAACCAAGAAUACAAAAAUAUUCUACAAUGACAUGUGGGCCCCAAUAUAACCGAAAAUAUACAAGACUGUAGACCUUCGAUUUCUAAGGAUGCAAAUCCAAAAGCAACCCUCGACAAAAUCGGCUGUCUACAGACUGUCCUGAGCCUGAAAUGGGUAAAAAGAAGGGGUGAAUUUUUAUAAACCCAGUGAGUAAGCAAAGUUCAUCUACAACAUCUAAAGCCGAGUAAAUGGAGAUAGUUAAAUCAUCCCAUCAUAAUAUGAUUCAUAACAUUUAAAACUCAUUUCAAUUCAUAUAAAACAAUUACAUUUCAUCGAAAUAAUCAACAAGGCUUAUGAUUCUCUUAAAAACUUGACUUGUGCCAAAACUCAUACUCGGUGACACCUUGUCCCGGGCAUCCAACUGAGUCUGUUAAGGAUGUUAAAACAACAUAUACCCAUAAAACAUGUUUUUACUUUUAAAAUAUAGCCAUUCCUUGGCGUUGGUUGAGUUGCAUCCUUACGUGAUGGUUCGGCGUGAAGUGAACUCUAAACUUACCUUAGGAGAUACCCUCCGCGCCUCUCGUACUAAGGUAAAAUAUAACAGGGUUUACCGUGCCCCUCUAAUAGGCUGGUCCACGGAAACCCGCCCAUUGCAAUAAGCUAAUCAAUUACCCCACCAAAUCAAUAAACAUUUCGGCAGCAUGACAUGGCUAAUGUGAUAUUACCCAGCCUAUCAAGGUAAAACAAAACAGUUCAUAUAUUCCACACAAACACAAAACCAGCCAUUCAUGCCAUCACAUUGUCAUAAGCUAUCAAUUCAAACCAUAUAUCAAACAUGAGUAUAUAGUCUCCACUUACUCAAUUUCCAAAACCAGUAUUCAAUUUCAAAACAAGUUAUAAAUCUCAUUUCGUUUAGCCAACACUUCAAUUAUAAAAGAUAAUAGUUUACAAUUUAAGUUCAUUAUUCUUUAAAAUCAUAGAAAACGAGUAUAAACUACUUUAGAUAGUUUAGGUGAACAUUUGAUUACUCACAAUAGCGGGAGUUUAGAGUACUCCUAUUGGUACGAUAUCUUUACCCUUAUCAGAGGGCUCACCACCUAUACAUAAUACACGACACGUAAUUCAAUAUAUUUGUGCCAAACUGUUAUAAAACUAUUUCAAGCUCUAUAUGAAUGCAUGAAAUUGAAUGAGAAUUGUUCGAAUAAUCACUUAAAGACGGUGUUCUACGUGGGUUCAAUUAUGAUCGGACUAAAUUUGUAUUCGACCUAACUCGAACUAUACACUGUUGAAUUAACCAAAGCAUCCGAUUCAACUUCAAAUAUAUUCAUUAUACUUCCAAUAUUCCAAAUACACUAAAGUACCUCAAUGAGCUUGAUUAUGACUUAAUUCAUCAUAACCGAAAUUCAUUCCGAUUCCGGACUAACGUGCUAAUAAGUGUUAACACAGUCCAAUAAAUCCAUCUAUAUCAUUAAGAAUCAAAUCCAAGUCCAUUUACUAUGAUUUUCUCAUUAUUGUUCAAGUCGUUUACUAAAGGAACUUUACUUUUCGAUAGCCGUUUUCGAUAUUCGAUACCAUAAAUCAUCAAUUACGAGCUAAAUAACAUGAAAUACAACAAAAUCCAUCAUCAACAUGUCAUCUAUAAAAUUCGGCCAAAGAGGGUUGUUGAAGGGCACGUGAUUUUCUUGCUUGUUUUUCAUGCCAAACAUCAUCAAAUAACUAAAAACACUAAGAUAUCAUGAAAUCUAGCAAAAUCCACCAUCAAAACCUCUCUCCCUAUGUUUGGCCAGCAAGUAUUCCCUCAUGGAAACUUGUGUUUCAUCCAUAGAAAAUGAAAAAGAAAGCAUGGGAAAGGUAGAUCUUAAGCUAAAAUUGAAAAAUCUUACCUUUGAUUGUUUUGUUCUUUGAAAUUCAACAAAUUUCUCUUGAAUUUUCCUCUCUAGGGUUUGUUUCUAUUCUUUUCUCUUUGUUCUUUGCUUUGGCC
rnacentral:lncRNA from 1 species